AAGCGGUGGAGCAUGUGGUUUAAUUCGACGCUACGCGAAGAACCUUACCUGGGCUUGAACUGCUGGAGGUAGGAGCCCGAAAGGGUGACGACCCGGAGCAAUCCGGGAACCAGCAGAGGUGCUGCAUGGCUGUCGUCAGCUCGUGUCGUGAGAUGUUGGGUUAAGUCCCGCAACGAGCGCAACCCUUGCCCUUAGUUGCCAGCGGGUAAUGCCGGGCACUCUAAGGGGACUGCCCCGGAUAACGGGGAGGAAGGCGGGGAUGACGUCAAGUCAGCAUGGCCUUUAUGUCCAGGGCUACACACGUGCUACAAUGGGCGGUACAGAGGGAAGCAAAGCCGCGAGGUGGAGCUAAUCCUUAAAGCCGUCCUCAGUUCGGAUCGCAGGCUGCAACUCGCCUGCGUGAAGUCGGAAUCGCUAGUAAUCGCGGAUCAGCUACGCCGCGGUGAAUACGUUCUCGGGCCUU
rnacentral:rRNA from 1 species